AAAAGGAGACGUGGGUCGGACAAGAUGGCGACCAGGAUGGAUGCUUUCUUUUGAGCUCCUGUAUUAUUGAAGAGUACCGGACCUUUAAGACUAUUGAAACGGACUCAGACGAAAUCAAUAAUUUAAAAUCUCUCAAGAUAAUUAAUCAGAAAUUCUAUGUGAACAUCCGCGCUGGCCUGUAUUUGGAUCCACGCAGGAGGACACUUUUGCUGGCCUCUUUGGUCCAGAGAACACACAAUGCAGCUGCAAACUACAUUAGCAUGACAGCAUGCACCACUGUGGCGAAGCUGCUUAUGGUUGAGAACAACCACAUCCCAACAGAGAGUUUGGAGGAGAAUGCUCCCUGGACCCCUUCACCAUUCUCCUGCCAUGCUUGCAAAUGAAGGCUUUUCUAGCCACAAGACGCUAUUCCUCAUUGACCUGAGGGCAACCUUAUGAUGGUUGGCACAUCAGCGAGUGUGGAAGUAAGAAGACCAGAGAAGCUUGGACCUUCAGGUGUCACCCUGCCUCUUGUUCCAGCAACCACACAGCAGCAAAACCUACACGGCCUCAUAAUUGUCGGCGGGAACAAGUUGACACCCUCUAAUUCCUCCAUCUCCGAAGCACCCAUGCGCAUGUUGUGGAGAAAACAAGCAACCAUUAUGAUCAUCACCACUGCAUCGAUCCGGGUGUUCUGCAGAUCCCGUAGGCGCCUCCACUUGCACUUCAAGAAAUAAGACAAGUUUUAGGAUCCAAAAAUACACAACCACAAUAAAAAAAUAUUCUGCAUAUCAAAUAAUGAAGUGAGACUGAAGAACAUAUGAGUGUGGAGCUAAAAUAAUUUGCAAACAUCAACCAGUGUAAAAACCAAUACAAAUGAUCAUUACAAAAUAUGAGGUAGUAAUAGCAAUAUAAAUAAUUAUUGAAUGGGACAAUAAAUACAUUUACAGACCCAUUUCAAAAAAAUUGAAUAUCAUAGAAUAGUUUAUUUCCAUAAAUUUCCAUUCAAAAAGUUAAGGUUUCAUAUGUUAUAGAUUCAGGGCCCACAAUUUAAACAAUUUCAAAUAUUUGUUUAUUUUUACAUAAUUUGGGUUUCCAGCUCUAAAACCCACAAAAUCCAUCCAUCCAUUUUCUGAGCCGCUUCUCCUCACGCGGGUCGCGGGCGUGCUGGAGCCUAUCCCAGCUAUCAUCGGGCAGGAGGCGGGGUACACCUUGAACUGGUUGCCAGCCAAUCGCAGGGCACAUACAAACAAACAACCAUUGGCACUCACAUUCACGCCUACGAGAAUGACUUGUCAAUUAACCUACUAUGCAUGUUUUGGGGAUGUGGGAAGAAACCGGAGUGCCCGGAGAAAAGCCACGCAGGCACGGGGAGAACACGCAAACUCCACACAGGCGGGGCCGGGGAUUGAACCCUGGUCCACAGAACUGUGAGGCAGACGCUCUAACCAGUCGUCCACCGUGCCGCCACAGGCCAGACUAACUUUAUGAAAAAAAUAUGAUGCAAUGAUCAAAUAAAUUUUUAUUCUUAUGUCUUA